rnacentral:rRNA from 1 species
GGAAUAUUGGACAAUGGGCGAAAGCCUGAUCCAGCAAUGCCGCGUGAGUGAUGAAGGCCUUAGGGUUGUAAAGCUCUUUUACCAGGGAUGAUAAUGACAGUACCUGGAGAAUAAGCUCCGGCUAACUCCGCGCCCGCAGCCGCGGUAAUGCGGAGGGGGCUAGCGUUGUUCGGAAUUACUGGGCGUAAAGCGCACGUAGGCGGCUUUGUAAGUUAGAGGUGAAAGCCCGGAGCUCAACUCCGGGACUGCCUUUAAGACUGCAUCGCUAGAACGUUGGAGAGGUAAGUGGAAUUCCGAGUGUAGAGGUGAAAUUCGUAGAUAUUCGGAAGAACACCAGUGGCGAAGGCGACUUACUGGACAACUGUUGACGCUGAGGUGCGAAAGCGUGGGGAGCAA